CGGUGCGAUCAUACCAGCACUAAGCCCCGGUUCCAUCAGAACUCCGCGUUAAACGUGCUUGGCGAGAGUAGUACUAGGAUGGGUUCCCUGGGAAAGUCCUCGUGUUUGCACCCU
rnacentral:rRNA from 1 species